rnacentral:lncRNA from 1 species
UGUCAUCAACAACAACAGUAGCUCUUCACCUUGGAGAGAGUUAAAAGGAGAAAAAGGUCCCUUGCUCCUCUUGUCUUGUAGCCAGUUACUUCAUUUUUGGGCUAAGGUGAACCGUCAGAGCAUACGGGAACGUAGCGUUUUUUCUUUUUUUUUUUCAAAAAGUCUCUUUUAACUCAGAUAUAGUCUUGUGACUCCAGCGUUC